AAGUCGUAACAAGGUUUCCGUAGGUGAACCUGCGGAAGGAUCAUUAAAGAGUAAGGGUGCUCAGCGCCCGACCUCCAACCCUUUGUUGUUAAAACUACCUUGUUGCUUUGGCGGGACCGCUCGGUCUCGAGCCGCUGGGGAUCCGUCCCAGGCGAGCGCCCGCCAGAGUUAAACCAAACUCUUGUUAUUUAACCGGUCGUCUGAGUUAAAAUUUGAAUAAAUCAAAA
rnacentral:misc_RNA from 1 species